rnacentral:rRNA from 1 species
GUUGCGGUAAAAAAGCUCGUAGUUGGAUUUCUGUUGAGGACGACCGGUCCGUACCAUGUACGCGCAUCUGGUUCGGCCUCGGCAUCCUCUCGAUAGACGUUUCUGCGCUUGAUUGCGUGGAGCGGAUUUCGGGACUUUUACUUUGAGGAAAUUAGAGUGUUCACGGCAGGCUAUCGCCAGAAUACAUUAGCAUGGAAUAAUACUAUAGGAUCUCGGUUCUAUUUUGUUGGUUUCUAGACCCGGGGUAAUGAUUAAUAGGGACAAUUGGGGGCAUUUGUAUCAACACGUCAGAGGUGGAAUUCUUGGAUUGUGUUGCGACAAACUACUGCGAAAGCAUUUGCCAAGGAUGUUUUCAUUGAUCAAGAACGAAAGUAAGGGGAUCGAAGACGAUUAGAUACCGUCGUAUUUUUUACCAUAAACUAUGCCGACUAGAGAUGGGGCAUCGUUCACUUACGACUUGCUCCGCAUCUUAUGAGAUAUCAAAGUCUUUGGGUUCCGGGGGGAGUAUGGUCGCAAGUCUGAAACUUAAAGGAAUUGACGGAAGGGCACCACCAGGAGUGGAGCCUGCGGCUUAAUUUGACUCAACACGGGGAAACUCACCAGGUCCAGACAUAAUAAGGAUUGACAGAUUGAUAGCUCUUUCUUGAUUUUAUGGGUGGUGGUGCAUGGCCGUUCUUAGUUCGUGGAGUGAUUUGUCUGCUUAAUUGCGUUAACGAACGAGACCUUAACCUGCUAAAUAGGAGCGCAUAUCUCCGGAUAAGCGCCUUUCUUCUUAGAGGGACUGCAUGCGUUUCAGUAUGCGGAAGUUUGAGGCUAAAACAGGUCUGUGAUGCCCUUAGAUGUUCUGGGCUGCACGCGCGCUACACUGAUGCGUUCAACGAGUGUACAACCUUGCCCGAUAGGGUUGGGUAACCUUUUGAACACGCAUCGUGAUGGGGAUUGAGUAUUGCAAUUAUUACU